rnacentral:rRNA from 1 species
CAGUAGCCGCGGUAAUACGUAGGGGGCAAGCGUUAUCCGGAAUUACUGGGUGUAAAGGGAGCGUAGACGGUUAAACAAGUCUGAAGUGAAAUGCCGGGGCUCAACCCCGGAGCUGCUUUGGGAACUGUAGAACUGGAGUGUCGGAGGGGUAAGCGGAAUUCCCAGUGUAGCGGUGAAAUGCGUAGAUAUAUGGAGGAACACCGGUGGCGAAAGCGGCUCUCUGGUCUGUAACUGACGCUGAGGCUCGAAAGCGUGGGGAGCGAACAGGAUUAGAUACCCCGGUAGUCCCUGUCUCUUAUAC